UGCUGGGCUGACCUCUACUCACAAUGGGCUUCCGUCUGCCCAGUAGAGCCUUCUCUGGGUGCACAGAUGCCAGCACUCAACGAUGGGGUGGGGACCAGCCUGGGCACGGGGGACGUCCUGGCCCAUCCCAGGGUUUCUGGAGGGCGAGGGAAAACUCCUAGAAUGGAACUGCCAAUGGGCAUGGGAUUUCUUUUGGGGAAUGAGAAUGUUCUGGAACUGGAGCUUGGGGCAGUCGCAUGGCCUGGGAAGUGCAGUAAAUGCCACUGAGCUGUGCAACUUGAAGGGUGCAUUUCAUGCAUGUGAAUUAUGUCUGAAUAACAAGAAAAGCAGUCCCCAAGGAUUUGCACGAUGACUCACAGGGGCUAUGAGAACUGGACUCUCUUGGAAGCUGCUGCUGCACCACAAUUCAUGUGACACCCGCUGUCCAGUGCAUAGCACGGUGGGAACCUGCCAUCCAAGGAGGUUGGGAUUGGCUGUUGGUCAGAUUGGUUCCUUGUUGUUUUCCUUUGUCCCGGAGGAGCCUCAGGGCUUUGCUCAAUCAGGGCAAGGCCCACACACAGUGCU
rnacentral:lncRNA from 10 species